rnacentral:lncRNA from 1 species
GGGAUUACAGGCAUGAGCCACUGUGCCCAGCCAGGUUAACUUUUACGAAAUUACAAAAUAAAAUUUUUCUUCUUACAAAAUAAAUGCAAACUACAUGGAAGACAAGAAGGUCUCUUCAUCCUCACUCCAUGUCAUAUGGCUAGGGCCUGCCAUAAGUACAGCACACAUUUUUCCCCAAUUUAAUCUUCUCAACUGAAGAAGGUAUUUUGUCCCCAUUGUACAGAUCAUGACAAUGAGGUUCAGAGAGGUUAAGCAACCAACCCAAGACCACACAGGUAGCAAGUGGACUAGCACCUGCAGUCUGAUGUUGGGGCCCAAACCUUCAAUCACCAGGCAAGACUGCCGGUCACCCUGCAAGCUGCACUCAAUGGUUUGAAAGAAAGGCUGCAAUCAGCAUUUGUGACAUUGUGUUUAUGGGGUGGUCAGCCAUCCCGCCAGGUGCACAACGUGUGGCUCGGUAGACUCUGGGCAGCACAGGCCACUGCAUGGAGUGGCACUCACCCUGCACUGCCAUGUGCUGCCCUCUGUUUGAUUCUCAUCUCCUUUCAGCGUCAGACAGCGGUGGCAGGCAGCGGUGGCAGGCAGCGGUGGCAGGCAGCGGUGGCAGUGGUGGUAGACUGCCGUGGUAGGUGGAACUCAUCAUCCUAUCUCCCAGGGAUUGUCACUUUCCCCCGAGCCCUCAUGAGCUUCUGAGCAGCUCUACGAAGCAAGAGUCACAUGGAUUUGGGCUUUUUGAAGAAAGUUCAAGGAGAUUCCUACCUUUGCUGGUACCCUCCUCUGGGCGUGGGCUGCGACAUGGACAUCAGCAAACUUAAGCUCAACGAGGGAAGAUUGUGUGCCCUCUGGAACCUCUGACCGCUGCCUCUAUGUGCACGGGCCCCUAAUCACAGUGCGUCUCCUACGCACCCUUGGCUCCCCCAGGAGCUGGUGGCUUCUGGGUUAGCUCUGAGACAGAGGUAUCACCAGGCUUGGCUCAGGGAGGCCAACUGUGUGCUCUGGAACCAUCCAGACCCUCAAUGUUUAAAUUGAAAGUGUGCCCAGCCUCGGCCCCCUUCCCUUUGACAUUAAGACUUAAGAAGUUUCUAGUCCUUGUUGAAACCUAGUACAAAUGCCUCCUCUAGGAGCCUCUUGGGUGGGGUGGGAGUUUUUCAACUGUCA